AUAUAAUUGCCCAUGUUCCGAAAAAACAACAGACGUUGUCCUUUUUAUCGUAGAGCCGUUCCCCUGUUCUCGAAAAUGACCUCUGAGUUUCUUGCAAGAAGCGGGAAUUGCUUAGCAAUAGAGUUUAAUGGGGUCCGUGUUGAUCAAGUAUCGUUGGUUUUAUAUGUUACACUGUCAUUGUUAUGUUUUAUUUUGUUGUCAACGGGUCAGAAAUUGUUUCGCUGUUUCUUUUUUCCUUGACAAAU
rnacentral:lncRNA from 1 species